rnacentral:tRNA from 1 species
GGCUCGCAUGGCUCAGUGGUAAAGCGCAUCACUCGUAAUGAUGAGAUCCCCGGUUCAAUCCCGGGUGUGAGCAUG